rnacentral:rRNA from 1 species
CGUAGGUGGCAAGCGUUGUCCGGAUUUAUUGGGUUUAAAGGGUGCGUAGGUGGCCCUGUAAGUCAGUGGUGAAAUAUCUCAGCUUAACUGAGAGGGUGCCAUUGAUACUGCAGGGGCUUGAGUACAGAUGAGGUAGGCGGAAUUGACGGUGUAGCGGUGAAAUGCAUAGAUAUCGUCAAGAACACCGAUAGCGAAGGCAGCUUACCAAGCUGUAACUGACACUGAGGCACGAAAGUGUGGGGAUCAAACAGGAUUAGAUACCCUGGUAGUCCACACUGUAAACGUUGAUGACUCGAUGUUGGCGAUACACUGCCAGCGUCCAAGAGCAAUCGUUAAGUCAUCCACCUGGGGAGUACGCCGGCAACGGUG